rnacentral:rRNA from 1 species
UGCCCAGUAACGGCGAGUGAAGCGGCAAGAGCUCAAAUUUGAAAUCUGGCCUCCUUCGGGGGUCCGAGUUGUAAUUUGUAGAGGAUGCUUCGGGUGUGGCCGCCGUCUAAGUUCCUUGGAACAGGACGUCAGAGAGGGUGAGAAUCCCGUCUUGGGCGGCUGGUCCGCGCCCGUGUGAAGCUCCUUCGACGAGUCGAGUUGUUUGGGAAUGCAGCUCUAAGCGGGUGGUAAAUUUCAUCUAAAGCUAAAUACUGGUCGGAGACCGAUAGCGCACAAGUAGAGUGAUCGAAAGGUUAAAAGCACCUUGAAAAGGGAGUUAAACAGCACGUGAAAUUGUUGAAAGGGAAGCGCUUGCGGCCAGACUCGGGGGCGGGGUUCAGCGGGUGCUCGUCGCCCGUGCACUCCCCGUCUCCCGGGCCAGCAUCAGUUUCGACGGCCGGUCAAAGGCCCCCGGAAUGUGUCGUCUCUCGGGACGUCUUAUAGCCGGGGGUGCAAUGCGGCCCGUUGGGACUGAGGAACGCGCUCCGGCUCGGAUGCUGGCGUAAUGGCCGUAAGCGGCCCGUCUUGAAACACGGACCAAGGAGUCUAACAUCCACGCGAGUGUUCGGGUGUCAAACCCGUGCGCGCAGUGAAAGCGAACGGAGGUGGGAGCCUUAGGGCGCACCAUCGACCGAUCCUGAAGUCUUCGGAUGGAUUUGAGUAGGAGCGUGGCCGUUGGGACCCGAAAGAUGGUGAACUAUGCCUGAAUAGGGUGAAGCCAGAGGAAACUCUGGUGGAGGCUCGCAGCGGUUCUGACGUGCAAAUCGAUCGUCAAAUUUGGCAUAGGGCGAAAGACUAAUC